rnacentral:rRNA from 1 species
GACGAACGCUGGCGGCGUGCUUAACACAUGCAAGUCGAACGGAAAGGCCCUGCUUGUGUGUGGUGCUCGAGUGGCGAACGGGUGAGUAACACGUGAGUAACCUGCCCUUGACUUUGGGAUAACUUCAGGAAACUGGGGCUAAUACCGGAUAGGAGCUCCUGCUGCAUGGUGGGGGUUGGACAGUUUCGGCGGUUGGGGAUGGACUCGCGGCUUAUCAGCUUGUUGGUGGGGUAGUGGCUUACCAAGGCUUUGACGGGUAGCCGGCCUGGGAGGGUGACCGGCGACAUUGGGACUGAGAUACGGACCAGACGGCUACGGGAGGCAGCAGGGGGGAGUAUGGUACAAUGGGCGGAAGCGUGAUGAAGCGGCGCUGCGAGCGGGAAGCAGGCCAUGGGGUUGUAAACCGCUGUAACCUGUGACGAAGCGUGAGUGACGGUAAUAGGUGAAGAAGCACCGGCUAACUACGUG